rnacentral:lncRNA from 1 species
AAUUGGUCUAUUUAAAAGUAAAACAAUAUUUUAAAAUAAUUUUUGUUUGCAAUGCAAAAAUCAAUAUAAAUCUUGUGACGCGCGGUGUUCAACUUUAGUCAGCGCCAGGCGCUUACCGAGGAGGGACGUAUCGCUCGCUGUUGCGCCGCGUAAACUCGCCGGAGUUCGAAAAAUAUAGCGUAACCUACGCAUCUAACACGUUUUGAUACUAGAUAAUGAAAGCAUAUUUAAUUCAGACUAUCAGACUCAAUUGAAUACCAGUACAAAUAAUAUGGAAAAUUAAGAUACAAUACAUGGAAGACGAAUUAUAGAUUUUAGUUUUUUUAU